GACGAACGCUGGCGGCGUGCUUAACACAUGCAAGUCGAACGCUGAAGCUCAGCUUUUGUUGGGUGGAUGAGUGGCGAACGGGUGAGUAACACGUGAGUAACCUGCCCCCUUCUUUGGGAUAACGCCCGGAAACGGGUGCUAAUACUGGAUAUUCACUGGUCUUCGCAUGGGGGUUGGUGGAAAGGGGUUUUCUGGUGGGGGAUGGGCGCGCGGCCUAUCAGCUUGUUGGUGGGGUGAUGGCCUACCAAGGCUUUGACGGGUAGCCGGCCUGAGAGGGUGACCGGUCACUUUGAGACUGAGCUACGGCCCAGACUCCGACGCGGGGCAGCAGUGGGGAAUAUUGCACAAUGGGCGCUAGCCUGAUGCCGCGUCGCCGCGUGAGGGAUUGGGGCCUUCGGGUUGUGAACCUCUUUCGCUCAUGGUCAAGCCGCAACAAUGGUUGUGGUGAGGGUAGUGGGUAAAGAAGCGCCGGCUAACUACGUG
rnacentral:rRNA from 1 species